UGUGGUUUCUUUGUGUCUGGUGCAGGUGGGAGGUGCAACAUUUGAGGUGUUUUUGGACAGAUAUCAGCCCUCUUCCUCUAGGCCUAGCCAAAUUUCUGUGGGCAGCCCGGGCUCAUGUAUGUUAGUUUGUAUAGUGCCUGCAUUGGGCCUUCUGAAGUAUUCCAUUUCUUUUUUUUUUUUUUUUGUAUUUCAGAUAGCUUUUAUUGAGUAGUGAAAACAAGCAAAAAUACAAGGAGUAUCAAUAAUCCUUCAAUAAACACGAAAUAAGGCAUAAGACUACAAGAGACACGGAAAAAGAAAAAGAAGGAAGAGUGAAAAGGUGAGUAGAGGUUGACUUGGAGUUCCUCUUCCCAGAUUCGGGUGUAAUUAGGUUCUGAACCCCAAAAGCUGACGACAUCCCUUCGUCCAGAAUCCAUGGCAGAAAGUCCAAGUUAUGACCCAAUGUAGCAAUGGGAGAGGGGUAAGGGAGCUGACCACUCUGACAUCAAUAAGGAACCUCCCAAGGAUAAAGUGGAACAAGGUCACUUUGCUUCUGGAACGGCUUUCAUUGUUUACAGUAAGUACUUGCAGUGUCACAGCUUUGUGAUGAGAGAGACAGUAGCAAUGUUCCAACAAGAAAAUGCAUUCAGCUGUUUUUAGGAGCCUCUCCUGGGACAUAAGGCUUCACUAAUUGUGAAAAACAAUUUAAAAAGAAAAAAAUGCAUUCCACAAAUCCAGCAUGGCACAAGUAUUUUCAUAGAAAAAUGCAGUUAACACCCUUUUUUAAGGGGCAGAAGAAUAAGGCAUAAGUGCUGCACUCAGAUUGUUUACAUGUGUUGUCCUGAAAGUAUUUUUCUGUAAUGAAUAUGUGCUCUAUAUUUUUUGUGGGCAAGUCAGGAUUCAAAAGGAGUCAAUUUUCCCCACAGAUCUUAAAGAAAAGAAUUUCUGCUAUAUGUGGCUACCACAGCAUUAUUCAGUAGC